rnacentral:tRNA from 1 species
GCCUGUUUAGUUCAAUGGUAGAACUUUCGUUUCGUAAGCGAAGAACAUGGGUUCGAUUCCCAUAAUAGGCU